UACCGGUGUUGUCACGUUGGAACUAACUUUGCACAAUUCCAGUGAGCCAGAGUUACGUGGUUCGGUUUAAUCGUAGAACAGUAACUUCGGUUCGAGUCGUUUGACUUCGAGAUUAGUCGAAAACUCAACAGCUCCGUUCACGAGAACAGACUAUUUGUCUUUGCACGCGGUGGCCCGAACCAAACAAAUUACACGAAGCUCUUCAUUUGUGAGUCCACUCUCCCCGCGUGGCUAAAUAAUGCGAAAGCAGACACGUUACGUCCGACGAUAUACGUCCAACUUUCUCACGAUAGGAACAUCGCAAGCUACGAUAGUAAUCCAACGUUCUUUCAAAAUUUUCCCAACGACAUUCCGAUAUUUUAUCUUAUUGAAGAGAAAUUCCAAAAACCCAGACUCAUCUUUCGGCAGCAUAACGCGAAGGCAAUCGACUGAAUCCCGAGAUUGCGAGAUUCGUUUGGCUGAGAGAAAGACAAAGAAGAAGGGAGAGAAAGAGAACAAGAAAUAGGUAGAGAGGAUUGGUAGGUCGGUAAACAAUUCAUCUUUAAAAUUCAUCCAGAUUCUCUUUUAUAUUCCACCGGUACGACUCCGUUUCCGGGCCGCAUGAACCAGAGAUCCAUCAAAAAGGUUCCGGUGUGCUUGUAGCAGCAUUCUCCACGGAUAAGGGUGGAAACGGAUACGCGGGAUGAUGGCCGAGCCGGGGUCGUGGCAAAACGGGAAAACAAAAUCGGGCAGAAGAUGAAUCCGUAGAUAUGCCGUAGCGUCAUAAUUCCUUCCUUAUUGUUUGUCCUCCAUUUUUUAUUUGUGGAAAACGAGAGACUGCCGGCCAGCCUUCGAGCAAGGUCGAAAAAAGCUAAGCUGUCCGUGAGCUGACAGAGUGGAAAACAGAAAAAACGUGGCAGGGAACUGGAUGAAAGGGGAACGCGAUUGGAAAAGAAAAAUGAAAGAAUCGCGCCUCUGAAAAAAGAUACUGGAUAUGGAUUUCGAAGCUGGACAGCGGCCACUGGGAAUGGCGUUUAAUGGCAUCCGGGGAAAAGACGAGGGUAUCAUAAAUGUUAUUUUAAUAAAGAGGACAGAAUAGAGCGCAGAAGAAACACUUAUCGUUUGAAAUCCUGCAGUCGAAGAGAACUAGUAUGUCUAUGAUGGUGGAAGAAUAAAUAAAGAAGCAAUGGGGAUUAAAGAAGCUAAAAGCAAUAAGUGACGUGGCAUGUUCGUUUUCUACUUAAUACAGUGAAAAGGGCUGUUUCUGGGCAGAACAAACGGCCAACGAUCGUUCGCCUAUUAGCUUUCUCCAACAAGCGUGUUUACACGCACUAGUUUCCACGAUGAAAAUGUUUGUCGUAUAAAUUAGCGAUCCGUAACGGCCUGUACGAGCGUACGUGUCACUUUGCGACAGAAUUCUACCCUAUUCGCAUGGGGGAACGCGUAGGUCGAUAUUUGUUCUGUGAAAAAGUCCGUAGAGAUGUUCGUAUUCGUGGCAGAUCUCAAAGAAAAAUCGCCAAGUUUCAACAGGAGAAACCAUUUGAAAGCGUGUCUCCAUGGUUACUAGCGAUGGUGCUAGCGAUAAUCGUGAGAAUCUUUUUAAAAAAAGCACCAAAACCUUGAAGAAAGACGAAAGCCUGGUGAUCCGACGCUACUUACGCGAGAUAAAUUCCUGACUUUUUGUAGGAAGAUAAAAGCAAACCCCCCGCUCAAUGAAGAAAGGUGAAGGGUAAAACAUUUGUGCCUGACCUAUGACGACGGGAAUUUCUUUGCCUACUAUCGUAGAAAGAAUCAGUUAACAGGCACGAUCGACGUUAUUAGACCUGAAAAUUUCAAAAGAAUUCUCGAACGUGGACGUUUCAAAGAGUAAUAUUUUUAAUAUUUCCUUUGUGACGUAAAAAAAUAUUCACUUCGCUAGUAACCUUUUCUUUAUUCCGUUUUAUCUACAUCGAAUUAUACUCGUUUGAAGCUUAAUGUGGCUCACGAUUACGCUACCUAGGUCGGCGUCGAUUGACCAGUCUCGGCACUUCUGAAAUAAUUAAUAACGAACAACGAAAGGCUUAAAGUAUCUGUGCGUGUGGCCCCGUGUCACUUUGUGGCGCAAGUCUCGUGGAAAAAGUCAGCAAAGCGGGCGGAUAAGUGUUUUUUAAAAGGCAUCGCUGUCGAGAUCGUGCACACGGUGAAACGAGAAAGACAAUUAAGUGCCAGUUUCUAAAUUCUCGUAUGGACAACGUAAAACAACGAUGAAUUUAACACCGCGUAAUUCUUCGUCAUUUACGAGGCCGCACAAUUUCGAGCGAACUCUUAGAACGAAAAGUUAUCUGUGCCAGAAAUACGACAGUGUAUAGUCGAGAAAGAAUACUCUCCUGUUUCGCAUACAUUUCGCGUGUUCGUUGAAAGAACGAAAGAGAAAGAGAAAAAAUAUGUGCGAGGGAAAGUAUGUAAUGCGAAUACACGAGGCUCGCGCGUAACUCGCGCGUAACUCGCGUGUAACGUUGAACAAAAGCUAUGAAAUUACCUUUAAAGGACAGUCCGGAAGAAUACGCGGAGCUGUUUAAAAUGUAAAAAAAGGAACGUAGGAAAGUAGUAUACCCUUUUGAUCGUGGCUAUUGUUUGCGACCUGUAAAACGUACUCAUCAAGAAUUAAAUUUAGCCCGCAUUUAAGCGAGAAACCAAAUACAAACGAGCUCCUGCUCUUCAUACUCAUAGCGUUUAUUCGUAUAACGUAAAUCUAUACUUUGCCGAGCAGCUAAAUUACCGAAAGGAUUCUUUCAGUUGAAAAUCAAAACGGCGAUCUCUAAAUAACUUUCCAACGUGCCAGGAUAAAAUUGUUCGCGUAAUUCCAAUGUAUUUCGACGGAAAAAUGAUUCCUCCUCCGUGUGGAAACGCUACCCGUGUCGUCGGAACGAAAAAUCCAAGCCGCGAUAUCAAAGUUGCCGUACGAAAAAUAAACGAAAUCUCACUAUGUUACGCAAUCUUGAAACAUAAGCGGGCUAUGUUCGCAGAUAAAAACUGGCUGGCUGGAUAAUCCGAGAUAAAAGCCCGCCGUGGUUUCGAGCGUCCAAAAAAAACUUGAAUUUCGGUCAUCCUCUCUUUCCUUCGAGUUGGUGAGAUCAGAUGGUGAAGUUUGGGUUAAAUAACUGGUGGAGAUCCGGCACGAAUCGUGUGCCAGCAUGAGUUUCAAACGGCUGUCGGGCAAGCAAAACGGGCGAGGAGCUUUAAAGCUCGAGUUCGUGCUACGGCACGUACCUACAGAUGAUCGUCGUUUUCCCCGUGAUGCUCUCCGGUGUUUCCUUCGAACCAGGAACUCCUUCGAUCCGAUGCAACCGUUAGCUUUGUAAAAACGAACCGUGAAUCUUUCGUGUCUCUCUGACUUUCUAUAAAUGAAGUUUACCAGUACAAUUUUUUACGUUUGGGAUUAAUCGUAAGAGAGAAGUAUUACAUAUAGCAACGUCCGAUUUGUGCAUUGUCGAUUGCUACUACUGUAAGCUGAUCGAAAUUAACUGCAAAUUAAAUUUUAAUACUAGAAUUUUCUGCAUGUAUAUUUUAUGCAGCAUCAUGCAGGUUAAUACUACUGCAAUGCACUCGAAAUUAUAAAUUAAAUUUUAGCUGUAGAAUAUUUGAAGUUCAGAAUUCUAAUGGAGGGAUAUAUUAUGCUGUAUAUAAAAUAGAUAUAUCGUCUGACCUGUACAGGUUGUUACUACAGUAACGUAUUCGAAGCUAUAAAUUAAAUUUUCCUACUCAAAUUUUUAAUGACCAGAAUUAAUGUAACGUAGUAAUAUUUCGUAGCGUCUGACCUGUACCGGUUCCUACCACUUGAACUCGAAGCGUAUCAUAUGCGUCGUACGAAGAAAUUCGUGCAAUCGUUAGCCAUCGAUAUUGGAAAAGCAAUUCCAGAAAUAAGAUUGCGUAAAAAAAGUAUUGCAGCGACAUUACAUAAAAAUAUUGUGCGACGUUAGAAAGAGAUAUUGGUUUCCAGGUAACAAACAAUUAGAAACGCGGCAGUAGAAAUGGUCCGUCAUGAAUCAGACUACGAGUCUAUCGUGAAACAAAUAAGUGACGCGGAAGAUUAGCUUCAUAUAUUGAGAAACAGGAGACAGAUAAACUUCGUACGUUAACAAGUAACGAUGUUACAGGUACAAAUUGUAAAAAUUUACCCUCGUUCAUUCAAGAAAUGAAGAUAACGUUUCGCAAUUUUAUUUUCGCUUUAAUUCUGUUAUGCUAUAUAUUUCUAAAGUUUCCUAGCCAACAUAGGCUGCUAAUAUUCUGUUAAAACUAUACAUCUGUAUCUGUAGUACCGUUCCAUUUUCGAUCUUUUUUCGUGUCUCGCGUGUACGAGAUUUUCAACGCAAUGCACGUUUACAAGGCACGCUUUUCUACCCGCCUUUUUUACAUUUUCUAACGCUUCGGUUCUAGACGCGAGAACGUAUUUGGUAUUCCCGAUGCGAUCAAAAGUACGCUCCACGUAACUCUGCAUAAUCUUAUGCAGUCUGCUCGAUUGAAAUUAAAUCGACAAGAAAAUAAUUCAAAGCGAUUUUGUGACGCUACGAAAGAGGAUUCCUUCGAUGUUACACGCCGUGAAGAGCCGGUGAAAUUGGAAUGAAAUUUCGUCGAACGAGUUCUCGUCCGAAAUGGAUGAAACGAGCGUGAUGGAAUUCCAGGAGGAGCCAGAGCUAUCAAGAAAUUCUCACACCAUACAAGAUUUUUCCGCGCAAUACGAUAGAACAAAAAUGUCUUGCUAUUUCUUCGAACAUCCAGUUAGAACUCUUCUAUAUGCAUAGAUUUGCAAAAGGAAGUUUCUCGAAAGAGCAGAUUUUUUUAAUAAUCAUGAUCUCGAAAACAUUUUAAUAACACGUUUCGCCACAGGAAUUCGAGGUUGCAUUAUCCAGAGAUGCUGGGAAUUAACGUGUAUCUCGACUACUCGGAAACCUUACUGUCCGUGAAAGCGGAACAAUCCUGGCCAUUUUAACCCAAGUCGCCGGAUAUCAGCCUGACUAAAGUUAACCGAACAAUUUGCAAACAUUCCGCGAAAGCAGUGCUACAUCUUAGCGCUCGCGUCUACAGUCGACGUUCACGCGGAAGGAAAUUUAUCAUCUCCUUCUCUUCCUCUUCUUUAACAGCCUUCUCGUGUUUGACGCACGCUUUCCACAGCUUCAAGCUCAAAUUUCACAGAAUUUUAACCAAAGUCUCUUUUGAUAACCCAACUCCGGAAUACUGUAACGAGGUACUAUAUUCUCUAGUCAGUUUUGUUUCAAUUACUUUUAAUACACGAUUCUCUACAUAAUUUUUAUCAUGACUUUUUAAACCUUUAAACGACCUAUGCUUAUAUUUAUUGUUUCAUUAUAACGACAGAGAAUAUAUUCACAAAGUUUGAUCAUUAAACCUUGAGGUACUCUGUAUAUUUCCCGAACAUGGUGAUAAAGAAAUUUCGUAUAAGAUGCAGUAUCGUAAAGUUAAUAACAAUGCGACAGUAGAAAAAUUCAAAAAUGAAAAAGUAUCGAUAUGAAUCAGUCUUAGCGCGAUUUGGAUCGGCGAAGAUCCUGAUUGCACGGUUGACCGUAUACGCCUGAUCGUCCCUGGAGCGUUUUCCGAAGUGGUUCGAUGCACCUGACAGUGGGGAGUGCGCAUAAGAGGUACGUCAGAGCGUUUAAAGCGGAGCAAUUUGGUACGGGGCCGACGCAGCACAAAACGUCCGACAAUGCUAUCGUCUAACAAGAUUGCAAACGAAAUUGGAUGUUUUUCUCCGGCUGGAUGGAACGGAGAGGAAAAGUAUUAAUUCGGGUCAGACCGGAUCACACGCUUGCGUAAACAUCAGGGAAAGAGGAAAAAACGGAGAGCGCGUGUGUUGCGCGUUUCGGACGCGUGGCGAGCGAAGAUGACAAUUUAAUUGCAUCCCCUGGUGAAAAACGAACGAGCAAAGCUGGCUCUCCCCAGCGCUGGAACUAAUGUUCCCUUUUAAAGCCAGCGCCUCGACAACGGGUUGCUUCGAAAAUUGUUUGCCCUCCAUCCCUGUGUUUCGCCCGGAUUUGAUAAUACGUAAUCCACACGAUUUAUUCCGCGAAAUUGUUCCCCUGAAAAUUCUGUGAAAUUGCGAGUGCGUGGAAAAACUCAGCUGAAAAUUAUCGCCCGGCAAAAGACGUUAAAACGCAUAGGGAAAUUACGAUGUUCAUGUCCCGCCGCCUUCUUACAAUGGAAAAUUUUCUAGAAAAAUUGUAUCGUGUGGAUCAACACACGUGAUUCUUAAUACACCAUGUACCUCUUUUAAUUCGUACUAGUAAUUCUUACAAAUUUCUGCUUCGUUAUCUCGCACGUGUACGAAAUCACGAUCGAUUAAUUCUUUCGAUAGUUUGAACAGAUUGUUACAUUUUAUAUAAAACCAGGAGGUAUCCUAAUGCUUAAUGGAAUGUAUCUGUAAUAAAUGGAUAUGUAC